CGGGGCUAAUACCGGAUAACACAUGAAACCGCAUGGUUUCAUGAUGAAAGACGGUUUUGCUGUCACUUAUAGAUGGACCCGCGGAGUAUUAGCUAGUUGGUAAGGUAACGGCUUACCAAGGCAACGAUACGUAGCCGACCUGAGAGGGUGAUCGGCCACACUGGAACUGAGACACGGUCCAG
rnacentral:rRNA from 1 species